rnacentral:rRNA from 1 species
UUAACACAUGCAAGUCGAACGAUGAACCACUUCGGUGGGGAUUAGUGGCGAACGGGUGAGUAACACGUGGGCAAUCUGCCCUUCACUCUGGGACAAGCCCUGGAAACGGGGUCUAAUACCGGAUAGCACUCCUGCUCGCAUGGGCGGGGGUUGAAAGCUCCGGCGGUGAAGGAUGAGCCCGCGGCCUAUCAGCUUGUUGGUGAGGUAACGGCUCACCAAGGCGACGACGGGUAGCCGGCCUGAGAGGGCGACCGGCCACACUGGGACUGAGACACGGCCCAGACUCCUACGGGAGGCAGCAGUGGGGAAUAUUGCACAAUGGGCGCAAGCCUGAUGCAGCGACGCCGCGUGAGGGAUGACGGCCUUCGGGUUGUAAACCUCUUUCAGCAGGGAAGAAGCGCAAGUGACGGUACCUGCAGAAGAAGCGCCGGCUAACUACGUGCCAGCAGCCGCGGUAAUACGUAGGGCGCAAGCGUUGUCCGGAAUUAUUGGGCGUAAAGAGCUCGUAGGCGGCUUGUCACGUCGGGUGUGAAAGCCCGGGGCUUAACCCCGGGUCUGCAUUCGAUACGGGCUAGCUAGAGUGUGGUAGGGGAGAUCGGAAUUCCUGGUGUAGCGGUGAAAUGCGCAGAUAUCAGGAGGAACACCGGUGGCGAAGGCGGAUCUCUGGGCCAUUACUGACGCUGAGGAGCGAAA